AGUUUUUUUUUUAAUCUUAUUUAAGUGGAAUAAGAUUUUGACUCCCUUGAGGUGAGGCUAGAUUCGACUACAGAAAAAAAUGGAUCAUUCCCAUUCUUCUCUGGAAUGAAAAUCGGAAUGGGAUUUCCCCCAACCAAAUACUUGGAAUAGGAGUCAUCCAUUCCGAUUCUCAUUCCAGACCUUAAUUACUCGAACCAAACACCCCCUAA
rnacentral:lncRNA from 1 species